UCUUCUUCAGCAGAGCAACAUCAAACGCUGAGUUCGUUUAGGCAGCGGCGCUCAUCUUCGCCUCACGAGUUUAAUGCGGCCAACUCUGAGCCAAACGCUUUACAUCGGAGUAUCCACCCAUCUCUAACCCUACACAGAGUCUGUGUUUACUAGCAGACACGGCGAGCAGGCACGACCGGUUUACAGAGAGAGAGGCGCACACCUGUUCCUCACACCGCACCCUCUGCGUUCAGGUUUUCUUAGCAUUAAAAUAAUGCAAAGUGGUGAGAUCAUUUCACCCGGAGUCAGGACAGAGUUCGUUAUUCAAACCCAUUUUCCCUGCUUCAUAUUUGCCUAUGAAAGAAAGCCAUGGACGAGGCGCAUUAAGUGCUGCAUGCAGCGUUAUAAAAUAGUACCCUCCCCAUUUUUGUCUUGUUUUCUGAAUCGUAUCCUUAAUUCGAGAUGCGUUUAAGAUGCGAAAUAAACAACAAAAAGUCACAGUUUUCCGAAACAAUUAUUAAAAUGAAGUAAACAUCUGCCAAAGCCACAUGAAAACUGGUUUUCUUGAUUUUUUUUAAGCCUAUAGAGAUACCCGUUGAACAUAAAUGCAUAUAAGUGCACUGAAACGGAGCUAUUCAGGCCAUAAGCUAUUUCUUUGUGCUGCUUAAUAUUUUUUGUGCAUAUAUAAAAAAAAACAUUUGCUUGAAACAGGAAGCUUUUGUAACGUUCUAAAUGCCUCCAUUGUCACUUUUAAUCAACUCAAUGCAUGCUUUCCGAAUAAAAGCAUUAACUUCUUUCCAAACCCCCCCAAAUCUUUAACGUUAUAUACGUUAAAUACAUUUAAGCACGACGUAGGCAUUCACACACCCCUGAAACGCUGAACUGCUAAGCCUGUUCUAUUGUGUAGGGUGAUUUAUCACAAAGGCGUUCACGUUUUGCAUAAAUGCACUUGGUUUUUCACGAUCACGGUGACAGAAACAGACCAGCCUCAAGAAGGAAUGCGAUUCCAGUGAAGUCCUGGCUAACUUCGCACCGUCAGCGCUGGAGGUGUUGCUCACGAGCUCCGAGGUAGCCGUUAAACACUGUGAGCAGACGCAUUACCGACUGCCCCAUUGCAUCAUGACUCCUCUGUGGGUUUUUCGUUUGAAUGAUCGUGUUUAGAAAUCAGACACAAUGCGUUAGGACAUGUCGCCCAUAUCCAUAAGAGGGAAGGCGCGUCCGGAGGCGCUCCGGGUCGCCCAUUGUGCUCCGGCGCUCUGUUUGAGGUAAAUUCAGCUAAAUUCAACCCCCUGGAUGUUUUCACAGAUCUGUUGGCUGCUUCUCCGUCAGUGAAGGAAAGGCGGCCGUUUACAUGACUGUGAAGCAUCAGAAGAAUGCAGAGGGGUGAGAUCUCUGAAGCAGAAACAGCAGUCUGUCAUGUCCUGAACACACAUCUGCUGGAGAGGAGCCUGCGGCGUUUGUCAGGAUUCCCGUGUUUUGAGCCAAUUAAACUUUAGCUCCGGUUUUGAGAAACGUGCCACAGCGCUCGACUGAAAUCAGAAGGAGUCCGGACACAUGUAGACGCCGCAAGCGCCAGAUCCAGCUGCUUUAAUGGGAAACCGGUGCUUGACACGCCGGUGGAAGAAUCCAGAAAAGAGCAGGGCGACAGACGGACAGCAGACGUGUAGCGAACGGCACAUGGACGUUACAUAAGCACACACUCCUCCCUCAGAUCCUCUCAACAUCUGGAACCAGAGCCGACCCGAGGAAACGAGAGCGAAGAGACACCGAGAGACGCGUAUCGGACACACUGUCAAUCACUCGUCGCUGACACAUUAAGGACAGGGAGAAACUAAAGGCUAAAUGGGAGAUAAAUGGAUUUAAUGGAUGCAGCGUGUGUGUGUGUGCGUGUGUGUGUGUGUGUGGACAUCAGGA